GAUGAACGCUAGCUACAGGCUUAACACAUGCAAGUCGAGGGGCAUCAGGAAGAAAGCUUGCUUUCUUUGCUGGCGACCGGCGCACGGGUGAGUAACACGUAUCCAACCUGCCCUUUACUCGGGGAUAGCCUUUCGAAAGAAAGAUUAAUACCCGAUGGCAUAAUGAUUCCGCAUGGUUUCAUUAUUAAAGGAUUCCGGUAAAGGAUGGGGAUGCGUUCCAUUAGGUUGUUGGUGAGGUAACGGCUCACCAAGCCUUCGAUGGAUAGGGGUUCUGAGAGGAAGGUCCCCCACAUUGGAACUGAGACACGGUCCAAACUCCUACGGGAGGCAGCAGUGAGGAAUAUUGGUCAAUGGGCGCUAGCCUGAACCAGCCAAGUAGCGUGAAGGAUGAAGGCUCUAUGGGUCGUAAACUUCUUUUAUAUAAGAAUAAAGUGCAGUAUGUAUACUGUUUUGUAUGUAUUAUAUGAAUAAGGAUCGGCUAACUCCGUGCCAGCAGCCGCGGUAAUACGGAGGAUCCGAGCGUUAUCCGGAUUUAUUGGGUUUAAAGGGAGCGUAGGUGGACUGGUAAGUCAGUUGUGAAAGUUUGCGGCUCAACCGUAAAAUUGCAGUUGAUACUGUCAGUCUUGAGUACAGUAGAGGUGGGCGGAAUUCGUGGUGUAGCGGUGAAAUGCUUAGAUAUCACGAAGAACUCCGAUUGCGAAGGCAGCUCACUGGACUGCAACUGACACUGAUGCUCGAAAGUGUGGGUAUCAAACAGGAUUAGAUACCCUGGUAGUCCACACAGUAAACGAUGAAUACUCGCUGUUUGCGAUAUACAGUAAGCGGCCAAGCGAAAGCAUUAAGUAUUCCACCUGGGGAGUACGCCGGCAACGGUGAAACUCAAAGGAAUUGACGGGGGCCCGCACAAGCGGAGGAACAUGUGGUUUAAUUCGAUGAUACGCGAGGAACCUUACCCGGGCUUAAAUUGCAGUGGAAUGAUGUGGAAACAUGUCAGUGAGCAAUCACCGCUGUGAAGGUGCUGCAUGGUUGUCGUCAGCUCGUGCCGUGAGGUGUCGGCUUAAGUGCCAUAACGAGCGCAACCCUUAUCUUCAGUUACUAACGGGUCAUGCUGAGGACUCUGGAGAGACUGCCGUCGUAAGAUGUGAGGAAGGUGGGGAUGACGUCAAAUCAGCACGGCCCUUACGUCCGGGGCUACACACGUGUUACAAUGGGGGGUACAGAAGGCAGCUAGCGGGUGACCGUAUGCUAAUCCCAAAAUCCUCUCUCAGUUCGGAUCGAAGUCUGCAACCCGACUUCGUGAAGCUGGAUUCGCUAGUAAUCGCGCAUCAGCCACGGCGCGGUGAAUACGUUCCCGGGCCU
rnacentral:rRNA from 1 species